UGACUGCUGCGAGCUUGCCAGAAGGAGUGCUGAUUACCUGCUCACCAGGGAUGUAAUGUGCAUCAGCAUCUACCACUCAAUAUACAUUGCUGGGGAAGCCUGAGGCAAGAGCACUUUUGGAAAGAAGAAGCCAGGCCAGACUAUGCAGUCCUGCUUGCCUGAUGGAGAAAAUCUGCCUUGAAUUAAAAAUGGUUCUGGAAUGAAGUUUAAAGAACAACUAGCCAUAGAAAAAGUGAAAAGCACAUCUCCUUCCAUUGGAACUUUAUAGGAGAUUUUUAACAAAAUCAUUGUCAUCCAAGCCGCAGUGUUCAUCAGGCUUCAGCUGCAAAAACCAGUCCUAAAAGAAAUACGUUAUCAUAAUUGAAUAAUCUUUAAUUACUGAUACCGAAAUGAAAAACAGCAAAACAAAACCCAAACCCAGCUCUCAAUUUAUGUUUAGUGAAGAUUACUUAAAGUUAAUAUCUUGUGGAAAUAGCUCAGUAAAUUUAAUUACUCAGCAGUGGUGUCCUAUAAAUCUGGAAGUCAAUACCUAAGUCAAUUAGCUGUUCUAGUCUAACUCACAUUAUCUUCACCUUCUAUGGCGGCUUCUGGGUAAGUGUCUUUAGUGACCCAAAGCUGUUUUGUCAUUGUGCUCAAGCACAUGGAGAUACUCCUGGGACUUUGAAAAGUAGUGACAGUCAUAGGGAGACAUUGCAUUCCUCCUAUGACCAUCCAUCACUAUAGGACAGAGGGUAAUGAAGCAAGGCACACCCGAGCCACCAGAGUCAUGGGACUGGAUGCAAAGUGGAAAUCAAUGAGGUGCAAACACUACGCCAUGAGGUCAAGGCAGCAUUCACUCACUGCUCCAAUUUUGUCUCUGCCCUUCAAGUCUGGAUACAAUUUUAAAAUGUGUUUUAAGCAAAGGAAUGAUUCAGUGGUGAGAAUCAGGCUGCAUCACUGGAACUGCACUUCAUGUUGACAUAAGAAAUUUGCAGAAUUUGGAAAAUGGAGCAGACUGCAUCCUAUGAAAAUCUUGCAAGGUUUGCAUUAUUGUUGAACUUUCACCUUUGCUUUAUUGAUUAGUUUUGUUUCUAAACUUUAUUUAUUUUAUUUUUAUUUACUUAUUUAUUUUGAGACAGAAUUUUGCUCUUGUUGCCCAGGAUGGAGUGCCAUGGUGUGAUCUCGGCUCACUGCAACCUCAGCCUCCCAGGUUCAAGCGAGUCUCCUGCCUCAGCCCCUCCCCCCGCCUCAGUAGCUGAGAUUACAGGCAUGCGCCACCACACCCGACUAAUUUCAUAUUUUUAGUAGAGAUGGG
rnacentral:lncRNA from 13 species